rnacentral:snRNA from 1 species
GUUCGCUUUGGCAGCACAUAUACUGAAAUUGGAACGAUAGAGAAUAUUAGCAUGGCCCCUGCACAAGGAUGACAUGCAAAUUUGUGAAGCAUUCCGCAUUUUU